UACGGAGGGGGCUAGCGUUGUUCGGAAUUACUGGGCGUAAAGCGCACGUAGGCGGCUUUGUAAGUUAGAGGUGAAAGCCCGGGGCUCAACUCCGGAACUGCCUUUAAGACUGCAUCGCUUGAAUCCAGGAGAGGGAAGCGGAAUUCCCGGUGUAGUGGUGAAAUGCGUAGAUAUCGGGAGGAACACCAGUGGCGAAGGCGGCUUCCUGGCCUGUUCUUGACGCUGAGGCGCGAAAGCUAGGGGAGCAAACGGG
rnacentral:rRNA from 1 species